rnacentral:rRNA from 1 species
GAUGAACGCUGGCGGCGUGCCUAAUACAUGCAAGUCGAGCGAACAGACGAGGAGCUUGCUCCUCUGACGUUAGCGGCGGACGGGUGAGUAACACGUGGAUAACCUACCUAUAAGACUGGGAUAACUUCGGGAAACCGGAGCUAAUACCGGAUAAUAUAUUGAACCGCAUGGUUCAAUAGUGAAAGACGGUUUUGCUGUCACUUAUAGAUGGAUCCGCGCCGCAUUAGCUAGUUGGUAAGGUAACGGCUUACCAAGGCAACGAUGCGUAGCCGACCUGAGAGGGUGAUCGGCCACACUGGAACUGAGCCACGGUCCAGACUCCUACGGGAGGCAGCAGUAGGGAAUCUGCCGCAAUGGGCGAAAGCCUGACGGAGCAACGCCGCGUGAGUGAUGAAGGUCUUCGGAUCGUAAAACUCUGUUAUUAGGGAAGAACAAAUGUGUAAGUAACUAUGCACGUCUUGACGGUACCUAAUCAGAAAGCCACGGCUAACUACGUG